CCUACGGGAGGCUGCAGUGGGGAAUAUUGGACAAUGGGGGGAACCCUGAUCCAGCCAUGCCGCGUGUGUGAAGAAGGCCCUCGGGUUGUAAAGCACUUUCAGUGAGGAAGAACGCCUGGUGGUUAAUACCCAUCAGGAAAGACAUCACUCACAGAAGAAGCACCGGCUAACUCCGUGCCAGCAGCCGCGGUAAUACGGAGGGUGCGAGCGUUAAUCGGAAUUACUGGGCGUAAAGCGCGCGUAGGUGGCUUGAUAAGCCGGUUGUGAAAGCCCCGGGCUCAACCUGGGAACGGCCUCCGGAACUGUCAAGCUGGAGUGCAGGAGAGGAAGGUAGAAUUCCCGGUGUAGCGGUGAAAUGCGUAGAGAUCGGGAGGAAUACCAGUGGCGAAGGCGGCCUUCUGGACUGACACUGACACUGAGGUGCGAAAGCGUGGGUAGCAAACAGGAUUAGAUACCCGAGUAGUC
rnacentral:rRNA from 1 species